AUUGAACGCUGGCGGCAGGCCUAACACAUGCAAGUCGAACGAGUGGCGGACGGGUGAGUAAUGUCUGGGAAACUGCCUGAUGGAGGGGGAUAACUACUGGAAACGGUAGCUAAUACCGCAUACCAUCGGAUGUGCCCAGACGGGAUUAGCUAGUAGUGGGGGUAAAGGCUCACUAAGGCGACGAUCCAGAGCUGGCCUGAGAGGAUGACCGGCCACACUGGAACGGAGACACGGCCCAGAGUCCUACGGGAGGCAGCAGUGGGGAAUAUUGCACAAUGGGCGCAAGCCUGAUGCAGCAAUGCCGCGUGUAUGAAGAAGGCCUUCGGGUCGUAAAGUACUUUCAGCGGGGAGGCGUUAUCCGAAGAGGAAGCAACGGCUAACUACGUGCCAGCAGCCGCGGUAAUUC
rnacentral:rRNA from 1 species